GGACGUGAGGGUGAUCUGGCUGUGACAUCUGUCACCCCAUGGAUCGCCAGGGUGGAUCUGGCUGAUCUGGCCGGGCGGGUGUCCCCUUCCUCCCUCACUGCUCCUUGUGUGUCGCUCCCAAGAGGACGACCUUCCCCGCUAGAGGAGGACCGAUCAAGGGUACACAGUAGCUGCGCUCCCUGCUAGAACCUCAAACAAGCUCUCAAGAAUUAAGAAAAGAGUAUCUGAAAGAGGAGGAAGUAAAUAAUAAAGCUGUAUGUGGAAAUCAAUUA
rnacentral:snRNA from 1 species